rnacentral:misc_RNA from 1 species
UCAAGCCAGGCGCCGGCCCUU